rnacentral:rRNA from 1 species
UACAGAGGUCUCAAGCGUUGUUCGGAUUCAUUGGGCGUAAAGGGUGCGUAGGCGGCGCGGUAAGUCGGGUGUGAAAUUUCGGAGCUUAACUCCGAAACUGCAUUCGAUACUGCCGUGCUUGAGGACUGGAGAGGAGACUGGAAUUUACGGUGUAGCAGUGAAAUGCGUAGAGAUCGUAAGGAAGACCAGUGGCGAAGGCGGGUCUCUGGACAGUUCCUGACGCUGAGGCACGAAGGCCAGGGAGCAAACGGG